ACGUAGGGGGCGAGCGUUAUCCGGAUUCAUUGGGCGUAAAGCGCGCGUAGGCGGCCGCUCGAGCGGGACCUCUAACCCGGGGGCUCAACCUCCGGCCGGGUCCCGGACCGUGCGGCUCGGGUGCGGUAGGGGCAGGCGGAACUCCAAGUGUAGCGGUGAAAUGCGCAGAUAUUUGGAGGAACACCGAUGGCGAAGGCAGCCUGCUGGGCCGCCACCGACGCUGAGGCGCGAAAGCCGGGGGAGCGAACAG
rnacentral:rRNA from 1 species